rnacentral:tRNA from 1 species
GCACCCUUAGCUCAGUGGAUCAGAGCGACUGGCUUCGGACCAGUAGGUCGGGGGUUCAAAUCCCUCAGGGUGCACCA